rnacentral:rRNA from 1 species
GACGAACGCUGGCGGCGUGCUUAACACAUGCAAGUCGAGCGGUAAGGCCCUUUCGGGGGUACACGAGCGGCGAACGGGUGAGUAACACGUGGGUGACCUGCCCUCAGCUCUGGGAUAAGCCCGGGAAACCGGGUCUAAUACCGGAUAUGACUCCAUGACGCAUGUUGUGGGGUGGAAAGCCUUGUGCGGCUGAGGAUGGGCCCGCGGCCUAUCAGCUUGUUGGUGGGGUGAUGGCCUACCAAGGCGACGACGGGUAGCCGGCCUGAGAGGGCGACCGGCCACACUGGGACUGAGACACGGCCCAGACUCCUACGGGAGGCAGCAGUGGGGAAUCUUGCGCAAUGGGCGAAAGCCUGACGCAGCGACGCCGCGUGAGGGAUGAC